AACACCCCGAGGAUCCUUACAAAGGCCCAUUGUAGAACCCAACAAGAUGAACAUGAAUUUUGCCGAUUAUGUUUGCAUACACCAUAUAAGUUAAGGAGUACUACAACUGUGGGAUAUGUGUAAGAGCUAGACAGCAGUUAAAAUGCAACAGAAAAUAUACCCAUAUCUCCGAAAUGAAUGUUCGCAGCUACAGUUAGGAGGCUUUGAU
rnacentral:lncRNA from 1 species